rnacentral:rRNA from 1 species
GACGAACGCUGGCGGCGUGCUUAACACAUGCAAGUCGAACGGAAAGGCCCUGCUUGCAGGGUGCUCGAGUGGCGAACGGGUGAGUAACACGUGGGUGUUCUGCCCCUUACUUUGGGAUAAGCCUGGGAAACUGGGUCUAAUACUGGAUAGGACCAUGCUGUAGGUGGUGUGGUGGAAAGAUUAGUUUCGGUAAGGGAUGAGCUCGCGGCCUAUCAGCUUGUUGGUGGGGUAAUGGCCUACCAAGGCGUCGACGGGUAGCCGGCCUGAGAGGGUGGGCGGCCACUUUAGGACUGAGAUACGGCCCAGACUCCUGCGAGAGGCAGCAGUGGGGAGUAUUGCACAAUAUGCGCAAGCCUGAUGCAGCGACGCCGCGUGGGGGAUGACGGCCUUCGGGUUGUAAACUCCUUUCGGCCAUGGCGAAGCCCUUGUGGUGACGGUAGUGGUAGAAGAAGCACCGGCUAACUACGUG